rnacentral:tRNA from 1 species
GGGCGAGUAGCUCAGGUGGUUAGAGCGCGUCGCUGAUAACGACGAGGUCGGAGGUUCAAGUCCUCCCUCGCCCA